GAUCCUUCUACAGGUGAGCAGCAGGACGAUUAACAGAGAUAAUCAGCUUUAAUCUUCCGACCUGCUGCUGUAAAUAUCAGACUUGGACGGAGACGUGGACGGAGACGCGGACAUAGACGUGGACGGAGACGCGGACAUAGACGUGGACGGAGACGCGGACGGAGACGAGGAUGGAGACGUGGACGUCAAGAUGCCAGAACCUGCUGCUGACAGAUUAAACACGUCACGUUCUGAUUCCCUGAAAACCAGGAGAGAAGUUCUGCAGCCAGUUGGAGUGAACAGAAAAAAAACUCUUUCUAAAAAAUUCAUGAAAUUAUUUUGGACAUUUUGCAGAUUUUGGUCAUAAUUUUGCAUCUUUUUGUGGUCAUUUUACAGCUUUUUUGGGAAGAUUUUGUGACUGUCAGAUCCCUGCUCAUCUCCAAACUCAUGGACCCAGCUACCCACCUGGACUUCCGCCUGGACUUCCGCCUGGACUUCCACCUGCCCUGCUUUGUCUUCAGAUCCUGACAUGAACCUUUCCACCGGUUCCGUCUCUACAUCCAGCCUCCUGUUUUCCGUCUAGUUUCCAGUCAUCUCCCGGAUUCCCGGUGCCUGUCUGUUGGUUGCCUGGUUUUUGUGAGUACAUUUUUAUUUGCUUAAGUUAGUUUUUACUGUUCAUGUCUGCUGCUUGAGUGGCAGGCCUCCCUCUUUUUCCUUUCCUGUGUGUUUGUGGGUGUGAGUGUUGUGUGAGUGCAUGUGUCUCGUCUGCUCUAAUCAGGUCAUCAGCUGAUUGAGGACACCUGUGACGGGGAAUGGCUCACCUGUUCUACGUUCCUCCUCCUGCCAUUAAUGAAGGGCUUCUCACACUGGACCGUUGCACCAUGCUGUAUCACCUGGCCAUUCCCCAUAGCUUUACCUGCUCCUACCUGCUCCAUCGUCCCCAGCAGGGCUUCCGUUCUUUUCCACUCACCUUAGACAAAUCGUGGAUACGACACACCUAAAAACCACCAAGCCUCCGGUCGCCCUCCUAAACCGCAUUCAGUUAAGUCUUUCAGAAUUGUCUGUUUAGUUUUAUUGCCAGCUGAACUUCCCUUAUGUUGACCCUCAUUAUUCCACACUGGCAGCGGCGCUUUCUGUCUAGUUGUUUAAACUGUGCUCGGCAGUUUUGAGUUUAGUUAGUUGUUUCUUGUAUGGACCCUGGCCUCAGCUGCGUUCCUGUUCUUAACAUAGUUAAAAGUGUUUAGUUCAGUCCUGUUUCCGGCAGUCUAGUCUCUUGCCUGUUUGGUCCAAGGAUAAUAAUAUUGGUUUUAUUCCCUGCUAUAAUCAGCUGCUCAGUUUUCCAGCUUCUAGUGUGUUGAAUUCUGGUUUUAGAGUCCAGCUGGGAUCUGUGAGUGUUUUCUGUAAAUAAAUCUGUUGAAAUACACCUUGCUGUCCUGAAUCUCUGUCCACGCCUGGGUCUUUGCACUACCGUGACAGUUCAGUUCUUCUCUUGGAUCUUCUGUGUUUAGUUUGGGUUGUGUGUGUUCUUUGUAUUAAGGUUUGGUCGACAUUAGCUCCCUCUUCUCUACUUCUAUUAGUUCUGUAGUUUACCUGCUGAUGUACUUUGGUUUUUUUGUUUAUAUAAAGCCUUCUGAAACUCCACCUGUCUGCCUGUAAUCUGUUCCCCCCCCCCCCCCCAUAACAUUUUUGUGGUAAUUGUACAUCUUUUUGUGGUAAUUUUAUGUCUUUCUGAGGGAAUUUUGCCUUUUGUCAUGAAUAUUUUGCCUUUUUUUUUUUUUAGGAGAUUUUGCAUCUUCUUGCCAAGAUUCUGCAUAUUUUUGUGGCAAUGUAGUGUAUUUUUGUGGUGAUUUUGUCUUUUUGUGGUUGUUGGAGCCAAAAUAUGAUGUCUUUGUUUUAUUAUCAUGAAUGUUGGUAUGACUGUGUGGGUGUGGCAUUAGGAGCCACGAGGUUCCCCACUGUAGGGAGUGGACUGCAUAUAUAAUGGCUAAUGAAUGAAUGAAUGCAGGUGUGCAGUUUGGAGAAUGAAGCCGAACAGUUUCCGACUGUGCUCAAACGCCGUGUCAAGCAGGUGAAUGUUGUCAGAUUGUAUAAUUUUGGAUUAUUGGAAACUUAAUGUUGACUGAACGAUAACUUACCUGCAACGGCGUAAAUAAAUGAAACAUCAGUAAAAACGAGCAGAGACACUGUCUUAAUUUGAAGCUGCAUGCAUCAGACUAAAGGACACUAACUGCCACCUCAGUGACUACAGGUAAAGUCACUACAGCGGUUGUGUGCUUUUGUGGUAAUUUUACAUCUUUUAGUGGCAAUUUCAUGUCUUUUUAUGGUGAUUUUGCCUUGUGUCAAGAUUUUGCCUUUUUUUGAGGGGAUUUUGCAUCUUCUUGCUGUGAUUUUGUCUUUUGUUACCAAGAUUUAACAUUUUGUGAUGACUUUGAAUCCUUUAGUGGUAAUUUUGCGCCUUUUGUGUAAAGUUUGUCUUUUUGUGGUAAUUUUGCAUCUUUUUGUGUUCAUUUCACAUUGUCUUGCAGUGAUUUUGCCUUUUAUCGAGAUUUUGCAUCUUUUUCUGAUGAUUUUGCAUGGUGUGUUCCAGUGUGUGUGUUCCAGUGUGUGUGUUCCAGUGUGUGUGUUCCAGUGUGUGUUUGGAGGUCAGCAGCAGAUUGGUUCUCCUGAUUAAAGGGGAAAUUACAGCGAGACGCUGAAUAUUAAUGAGUUGUUCUUUGAGCCAGUCAGUAACAGAGCAGACUAUCUAUAGAUCUUUCUACGUGUGUUUUAGUGUGUUUUAGUGUGUUUUAGUGUCGUCCUCAUCCAUGACCAACCACCUCCAUGUUCCUGGAGCUUCACUGAUGGUCGAACUGUCAGGCCUGCAGGGGCAGGUCCAGACAGUGCUCUUCCUCCCUCUAGGUGUGUUCGUCUGCAGCGGCAGGUGUCAUCCUUCUGCAAUCAUCAUCAGCUGGAGCAGGUGGAAUGUAUCCAAUCAAGCUCCACCUCCACCACAGUAUAACCAGACAUCAUUCACCUCUCAGUGCUGGAUCGUGACACAUUCCGGGUCCAUCUGCUCCGUUCCUUCUGGUUCCUCCAAUGGUCUGUUCACAUCCUCAGUCAUCUCUCUGCCACCUGGAAUCUCUCACCUGUACCGUUCCACCUCUGGCGUCUAUCCAUACCAACCUACCGCUGCAGCCCUUUGUUCCAAAGCCCUGGUUCCAAAUCCAAAAGCCAACACGCCACGUCCAAGUCCAGCCCCAGCGUCCUCCUGGGAGAACCAGUUAUCCACAGCUAAGAACCCAGUUCGAGCAUCAAGUAGUUCUUGUAGUUCCGUGAAAGAACCUCAUCAUGUGGGAUCUUUUAUUCAGUCAUCUCUACAAAGCGUCUGGCCGGAGGAAUAAAGUUUGAGAUGAUUUACCUCAACGUCCAGUAGGUCAUCCGAUGCGGGUCCACCGCUUCAUCAUAGGACAGGUUUCACUGUUUGAAAACAUGGAGGAGGAUCAUCUGAUGGACAAUAACAACCCAACAAACCCUCCGUUCUGUACGUUCCGUGGAGAUCAUUAACGUGACGCAGAUUUAUUCACCGGUUUUGAUUUUAAACAACCCACAGUGGAAUGAAUCUCCUGGGAUUUUCCUCAGCAGGACUCUGGUUUACAUUGACAGACUUUCUGUGUGAGGGGAUGAAUAUUCCCAGGACGUUCUCGGUGUGUUUAGUGUGUUUACACAGGAGGUCUGGUGGGAUUCAACUCUCUGAAGGAAGUAAAUCCCAGUCGUGGAUGUUAUGUUCAUUUCUUGGCUACUACCUGCCCGACUCCAUUUAAAGCAGAAAUAAAUACUAAAAUAUGAGUUACUGUGCGUGAGAAUGAGAUAAAACUUGAAGUAGAUCCAUUGUAUAAAUGUUGUGUUGAGUAUUUUUAUCGUUUGUCUACUUUCUGCACACAGAAAUACAUUUUAAAAAGCAAACUACUGGUAGAGACUUGAAGUCAGAUGGAAGGUUUUGGUGUUUGGAAAAGAGAAACUGAUACUCAUGAAUAUACUGAUAAUGAACAGGGACAUAAUCUGCUGUCUUUAGACUCUUUUGGAUUUUUAUUUCUGUUAGAUUUCAGUGCAGCUUUGGCUUCAGUUGUCCUAAAGGACCAGGUUGGCCUCCUACUUAACAGAUAGAUCAUUUUCUACUAAAAUUAGGAACUACUUCUCUUUUUUCUGCUCUAAUCACUUGUGGAGUUCCUCAAGGUUCCAUCUCUGGAACCUUUUUAUUCUCCUUGUAAAUGCGUCCUUUAAGCUCCACAAACAUAAAGUCUUCCUUAGUUUUGAGUUCUUUUGUUCAGACAGAAUGCUUAGAUAGAUGUUGAUUACUUUGCUUGCUUGCUUGACAGUUUCGGCGAAAACUCUCUCCUUCCUCAGAAGCGUCUCACUGACAGCGUGACGUGUCAGCUGGCAGGUUUUGACAGCCGGCAUUUGCGGCCCAGUAGAGUCGCCAGAUCCGCCGGGCCAACCACGCCCACGCCAUAAUGGAAAGUGACUGCAGAUAGAGAAAGAUCUUCACCAAAAGCUUCAGAAACGCAUCAAAAGCAUCUCAGAGCCACUGAGUUCAGUCUUAAGGCUCUCAGAAUUAAGUGAAGCAUUACAAGUGGUGUGUGUGAAAAAAAACCGAAAUCAUCAAGACGUGUAGAAAACGUUUUCAGGAACAUAGUGUUUUGUUGAGAGGGUUGUUCAACAGCAGCUCAAAACUAAUGUACUAACAAGAAGACAUAAUGAACGUUUUUGAGCCAUGAAGUCUUCCUCCACUUCUAUGCUGAUGAGACACAACUCUGUCUGCUACCUGUCAGGAUGAUUCUGCCUCCAUCAGAUCCUUCUUAACCUGCUUUCAGAAGAUAAAGUGGCCAAAAACUGCCUCCAGCUAGAUGAUAAAAACACAAAACUGAUGUGUUUGGUCCCUUCAGCAAAAGCACCUUGUAGCUCUGAACAUCUAACAGCAACAUCUAGACCUCUAUGAACUCCAACAUCUAGACCUCUAUGAACAUCUAGACCUCUAUGAACAUCUAGACCUCUAUGAACUCCAACAUCUAGACCUCUAUGAACAUCUAGACCUCUAUGAACAUCUAGACCUCUAUGAACUCCAACAUCUAGACCUCUAUGAACAUCUAGACCUCUAUGAACAUCUAGACCUCUAUAAACUCCAACAUCUAAACCUCUAUGAACAUCUAAACCUCUAUGAACAUCUAGACCUCCAUGAACAUCUAGACCUCUAUAAACUCCAACAUCUAGACCUCCAUGAACAUCUAGACCUCUAUUAACUCCAGGUUCUGGUUCCUACCAAUGUUUCCACAUCAACAUUUAAUCUAAACAUCUAAAAACUUUCCACACAUCAGAUUCUACUGAUGUUAGAGCCUCAACAGUUGGAGAAAUGUGGACCAAAGACUGUAUUUUAGUAGAAAUAUGGAUCCAUCCAUAGAUAUACACUGACAAGAACUUUAUGGAGACACUAGACCAUCAAAGUUAGAGAAUGGAAGAAAAAUGUAAAAUGUCCAAACUAACCAACAAUUAUUCAUUCUGGUCAUUUUAGACCAUUUAAGUCCUUUUGUCCAGGUUUGAGUCAUUUCAAACGUAAUUUUAUUUUAUUUUUGAGAAAUUUUUCACAUUUAGUGUGAUUUUGGACAAAUGUUGGCUACUUUUUUUGACAGUUUUCAUCAUUUUGGAUGAGAUUCAAGAGAAAACAGUAAGAAACUGCCAGAUUUUCAGCACUUUUGAAGGAUUUGUGUGUUUUUUUACCUUGAAUUUAGACACUAAUCUUACAAGCUACUGUUGUUUUGCCUUUUCUUUGUGUUUUAUUUUUUUUUUAGUGUCCUUCUGUCUUGUUUUCUGCAUGUCUUCACUGCUGCUUGUCUAAUAACGUGGUUGUUUUAAACCUGUAACUCUAAUAAAGUUGACUUGAUUAUGGAAAUAAAAAUAAAGACUCUAAUGCUUCACACCCCAGGCUCAAAGAAAGCAGUUAAAUCAUGGACCUCAU